rnacentral:rRNA from 1 species
CAGCCGCCGCGGGAAUACGUAGGUGGCAAGCGUUGUCCGGAAUUAUUGGGCGUAAAGCGCGCGCAGGUGGUUUAAUAAGUCUGAUGUGAAAGCCCCCGGCUCAACCGGGGAGGGUCAUUGGAAACUGGGAAACUUGAGUGCAGAAGAGGAGAGUGGAAUUCCACGUGUGGCGGUGAAAUGCGUAGAGAUGUGGAGGAACACCAGUGGCGAAGGCGACUCUCUGGUCUGUAACUGACGCUGAGGAGCGAAAGCGUGGGGAGCGAACAGGAUUAGAUACCCGAGUAGUCCCUGUCUCUUAUAU